rnacentral:piRNA from 1 species
UGAGAUCCCUUGCCUCAGGAAUCUGCAGCU